rnacentral:rRNA from 1 species
UACGUAGGGGGCGAGCGUUGUCCGGAAUUAUUGGGCGUAAAGGGUGCGUAGGCGGCCCUGCAAGUUGGAUGUGAAAUCCCCGUGCUUAACAUGGGAAUUGCAUUCAAAACUGUAGGGCUUGAGUGUGGAAGAGGUAAGUGGAAUUCCCAGUGUAGCGGUGAAAUGCGUAGAUAUUGGGAGGAACACCAGUGGCGAAGGCGACUUACUGGGCCACAACUGACGCUGAGGCACGAAAGCGUGGGGAG